rnacentral:ncRNA from 1 species
GUGUUUGUAGAAAAAAGAGAUGGCUGACAUUUCCUUCGAUAAGGAUAUGAAUAUUCUUUGGUCUUUUUCAUUAUACAUGGUUAAGGUUGUCACCUUCUUUAAGGUAGAUCUUAUUUAAGUUUUCU